rnacentral:rRNA from 1 species
GAUGAACGCUGGCGGCGUGCCUAAUACAUGCAAGUCGAACGCGCAGCGAAAGGUGCUUGCACCUUUCAAGCGAGUGGCGAACGGGUGAGUAACACGUGGAUAACCUGCCUCAAGGCUGGGGAUAACAUUUGGAAACAGAUGCUAAUACCGAAUAAAACUUAGUAUCGCAUGAUACAAAGUUAAAAGGCGCUACGGCGUCACCUAGAGAUGGAUCCGCGGUGCAUUAGGUAGUUGGUGGGGUAAAGGCUUACCAAGACGAUGAUGCAUAGCCGAGUUGGGAGACUGAUCGGCCACAUUGGGACUGAGACACGGCCCAAACUCCUUCGGGAGGCUGCAGUAGGGAAUCUUCCACAAUGGGCGCAAGCCUGAUGGAGCAACGCCGCGUGUGUGAUGAAGGCUUUCGGGUCGUAAAGCACUGUUGUAUGGGAAGAAAUGCUAAAAUAGGGAAUGAUUUUAGUUUGACGGUACCAUACCAGAAAGGGACGGCUAAAUACGUGCCAGCCGCCGCGGUAA